AUGCAGUCGAACGGACUUACAUUGAAGCCUAGCGAUAUGUAAGUUAGUGGCGGACGGGUGAGUAACGCGUGGGUAACCUGCCUUGUACUGGGGGACAACAGUUGGAAACGACUGCUAAUACCGCAUAAGCGCACAGCUUCGCAUGAAGCAGUGUGAAAAACUCCGGUGGUACAAGAUGGACCCGCGUCUGAUUAGCUGGUUGGUGAGGUAACGGCCCACCAAGGCGACGAUCAGUAGCCGGCCUGAGAGGGUGAACGGCCACAUUGGGACUGAGACACGGCCCAAACUCCUACGGGAGGCAGCAGUGGGGAAUAUUGCACAAUGGGGGAAACCCUGAUGCAGCAACGCCGCGUGAGUGAAGAAGUAUUUCGGUAUGUAAAGCUCUAUCAGCAGGAAAGAAAAUGACGGUACCUGACUAAGAAGCCCCGGCUAACUACGUGCCAGCAGCCGCGGUAAUACGUAGGGGGCAAGCGUUAUCCGGAUUUACUGGGUGUAAAGGGAGCGUAGACGGUUUUGCAAGUCUGAAGUGAAAGCCCGGGGCUUAACCCCGGGACUGCUUUGGAAACUGUAGGACUAGAGUGCAGGAGAGGUAAGUGGAAUUCCUGGUGUAGCGGUGAAAUGCGUAGAUAUUAGGAGGAACACCAGUGGCGAAGGCGGCUUACUGGACUGUAACUGACGUUGAGGCUCGAAAGCGCGGGGAGCAAACAGGAUUAGAUACCCUGGUAGUCCACGCCGUAAACGAUGAUUACUAGGUGUUGGUGGGUAUGACCCAUCGGUGCCGCAGCAAACGCAAUAAGUAAUCCACCUGGGGAGUACGUUCGCAAGAAUGAAACUCAAAGGAAUUGACGGGGACCCGCACAAGCGGUGGAGCAUGUGGUUUAAUUCG
rnacentral:rRNA from 1 species